rnacentral:tRNA from 1 species
AUCCCUGUAGCGCAGUGGAAGCGCGCCAGGCUCAUAACCUGGAGGCCCCUGGAUCGAGACCAGGCAGAGAUA